ACACUAUAAUACUAUAACACACUAUAAUACACUAUAAUACAUUAUAACACAAUAUAACACACUAUAACACACUUUCAACACUAUAAUA